rnacentral:rRNA from 1 species
CCUACGGGAGGCAGCAGUGGGGAAUAUUGCACAAUGGGGGAAACCCUGAUGCAGCGACGCCGCGUGAGUGAAGAAGUAUUUCGGUAUGUAAAGCUCUAUCAGCAGGGAAGAAAAUGACGGUACCUGAUUAAGAAGCCCCGGCUAACUACGUGCCAGCAGCCGCGGUAAUACGUAGGGGGCAAGCGUUAUCCGGAUUUACUGGGUGUAAGGGGAGCGUAGACGGCAGCACAAGUCUGGAGUGAAAUGCCGGGGCUUAACCCCGGAACUGCUUUGGAAACUGUGCAGCGAGAGUGCAGGAGAGGUAAGUGGAAUGCCUAGUGUAGCGGUGAAAUGCGUAGAUAUUAGGAGGAACACCAGUGGCGAAGGCGGCUUACUGGACUGUAACUGACGUUGAGGCUCGAAAGCGUGGGGAGCAAACAGGAUUAGAUACCCCAGUAGUC